rnacentral:rRNA from 1 species
UACGUAGGUGGCAAGCGUUGUCCGGAUUUACUGGGCGUAAAGGAUGCGUAGGCGGACAUUUAAGUCAGAUGUGAAAUCCCCGGGCUCAACCUGGGAACUGCAUUUGUGACUGCAUCGCUGGAGUGCGGCAGAGGGGGAUGGAAUUCCGCGUGUAGCAGUGAAAUGCGUAGAUAUGCGGAGGAACACCGAUGGCGAAGGCGAGUCCCUGGACGAUACCCGACACUGAGGCACGAAAGCUAGGGGAGCAAACAGG